rnacentral:rRNA from 1 species
UACGAAGGGGGCUAGCGUUGUUCGGAAUUACUGGGCGUAAAGCGCGUGUAGGCGGGUCUUUAAGUCAGGGGUGAAAUGCCAAGGCUCAGCCUUGGAACUGCCUUUGAUACUGGAGACCUUGAGUCCGGGAGAGGUGAGUGGAAUUGCGAGUGUAGAGGUGAAAUUCGUAGAUAUUCGCAAGAACACCAGUGGCGAAGGCGGCUCACUGGCCCGGAACUGACGCUGAGACGCGAAAGCGUGGGGAGCAAACAGG